AUGCUUCCAAUCCCAUUGUGCCACAGUAGGAACUCCUCUCUUGCCUUCUGAGACUGCCCACACGUCUCUCAAUAAAUCUACUUCUUACCAUCAUUUUGCCUCUCGCUGAAUUCCUUCUGUGCUGAGAUAUAAAGAAACUGAACUUCAGUAAGUCCUGGGACCAGGUGUGUUAUUUUUAAUUAAAAAAACAGUGGGUUCAAGCCCCAAUCUGGAUUUUGGCCAAAUUUGAAUCCCGGCCUGUGGGUUCAAGUCCCAAUCUGAGUCUUGGCUGGGUUUGAGCCCUGGCCUCUGGGUUUGAGCCCUGGCCUCUGGGUUUGAAUCCCAUAGAGAGUUAUAUGGUUUCAGGAUGCUGAGCCAGAGCACAAGCAUCAGUACUUCAGACACAUGUGCCCAAAUCUCCCACAGGGCUUGUCCUUCUUGCACAGUGGUUAUCAAAGUUUGGAACUUGGCCACUCUGAUAGGUCUAAAGUAGGGUUCCAUGGAUGUUUUGGUCAGCAUCUCUCUUAUUAUAAGUGAGAUUAAGCAUAUUUUCAAAUGUUUAAAAGCAUUUUCCUUUCCUGCAAAGGAUUUUUUAUCCAUUUUCCAAUUCAGUUAUUGGGUUUUUUCUUAUUGAUUUACAGCAGCCCUGUUCCCGUGUCAUAAAUUGCAUAUAUUAUAAUGCAUAUGAUACUGUCUUCAUAUCAGAGGCAUAAAUAAAACUUGUUCUUUUAAUGACUGCAUGAUAAUUCCAUUUUAGGGAUAUGCCAUAAUUUUAUUCUCAGUUUAUCAUUUGCCUUUUUACUUUAAUCAGAUGUUUUCUGCCAGGCAGAAAUAUUUGACUCUUAUCGGGUAGAAUCAAUCAAUUAUGUUAUUUAUGGCGAAGGGUUUUGUAAUAUAAGCCUCCAAUUCUGGAAGUCCCUUUUAAGGCACCAUGGUGGCCAAUGAGUUCAUCUCUAUGAAGCAGUGACCUCAAGAUGGCAAAGUUACCACCUAAAAAUGUGCCUGACCCAAGCUCUGUACUCCACCAUCAGGCCACUGAACUCUGGGUGGAACUAUCCCUAAACCUGGCCCCGCCCCCUCCCAUCUCAAGUGUGACAGUCUCAGAGCAGGGCCCCAGGCCAGCUUCAGGCACUCCUGCAGCGAGGAAUAAAGGCCCAAGGCCAAGUGGGAGGUGAUGCCACGGCUAGCCACGGAUAUCUGUGAGGAGUAACCCAUGCGCUUCCUCGCAUCAGUGAACACUGCUCAGGGAGUGUAGAAGGAGGGCGGGGGAGCUGAGCCCACCUACCAGCUCAUCACGCAUCCUACACACUCACUCAUCCGGAUUCGCAUUUUUCUCUGCAUUUUACUAAUUUAAUCCUCACUGCAGUGUUUCGCUGUUGGGUACAUCUCCAUCACGGACUUCAGCACGGCCUACACUUCUAGGAUUUACCGGGACCGCAAGGUCCCAUGCGCCCCCUCUCCUGGGAGAUGCUCUAGGAUUUGGGAUAAAAGUCAGACCUCACCGGUUUAUACCCCUCCUCGGCCCCGAAGCCUUCUCACUCUCCCUCUUCGUGUUGGGCCCAGUGCCAGGGAGACGCAGCCCCGCUGUUCCUGGAGAGUCUGGAUCAAAACCAGGGUGGGAGUCACCUCUUCUUCUAGCAAUGACUCCCCUCCCAGGCUUAAAAGCAUCAUCUAAAUUAAGCCGGAGGGGAGGGGCCAUCUGCUACUACAUUCUGUGUGUGGUCCCCUGCUGAAGCAUUUCCAGGAUCACUGAACUCCUGGGUGACAACAGGGACAGGACACCCCUGGCUUCACCUGAGGUGCUGGUGCUCUCACACAGGUAGGUCUUUGAAUCUAAGCAGUCAGCCCGCUAACCCUCACAGCCUCCCUGUCUCAUGGGAGCAUCUAUACAAACAGGGGUCCCUCCUGACCCUCCCACUCACUCCUCAGGAUUCAACACAUCUAGCUAGGCCUCCCUACCUUGGAUCCUCUGAAAUAGCAGAAUAAAUAUAAAAACACAUACUUAGAAGCCUGGAAAAUUAGAAAAUGUGCCAUCAGCAGAACAGAACAUGAGGGAAUUUCCAAGAGAGAAAGAAGCUGAGAUCAGAUUAAUGAUGAAACUCAAUAUCCAUUGCUGAGGAGCCGGCAAAGCUGGAGCCUUAUCUGGAAGUGAGGACCAGGUUUGCCCCCCAGAAUAAAGUCAGGGUGUAGCUGUAAAACAAGACAGAGAGCCGCAAGUGAUUGCUCCAUAGAAAUCAAAGCAAGGGCUCUGCCCAGCAACUGCAGCCAAAAUGAAGAGAGAGUGUCCCCAAAGCAGAGCCCAUGAAGGUGCUUGCCCUGGCUCAUCCCGCCUGUCUCCAUGUGCCUGGGGUUAGGGGUGCAGGGUUGCCAUGAUCAAUCAAAGUGGACAGUCCCUUCAGAAGGAAGGUUUACUUGUGUUACACAGCAAGAGUGAUCCGUCAAGACCACUGUUCCCAAGGAUGCUACACUCAGGACCCCCUUGCCAUCUAAAAAAUGCUUAAGGGCCCCACAGAGCUUUGAUUUCUAUGGAGCAAACCUACUGAUACAUAAUAGAAGUGAAAAAGAAGAAACAAAUUUUAAUAUUUAUACAUUUAUUUUAAAAUGAUAAAGCAUCACGUAAACAAAAAUAAUAUUUCUGAAAAUAGCUAUUUUUUUCUAAAAAUUGUUUAUUUAGUGAGAAGAGUGACAUUGUUUUAUAUUUUUAUAAAUCUCACCAAUGUCUGGCUUAAUAGACAGCUGCAUUUUCAUAUUUGCUUCUGAUUGCAAUCUGUUAUGAUAUCACACAUCAUGUAGACUCUGGAAAACUCUGCUGAGCACUCAUGAAAGAAAAAUGUCUUUGUAUUCCUAUUAGGUAGUUUUGAGUUUGUGGGUUCCUCUGAAAGAGUCUUAGGAACCCCCAGGGUCCAAGAGCCACACUUGAGAACCACUGUCCUGAGAUUCAUUUACAAAUGGGAUCAGACAAUCAAGAAUCCCUGUGUAUUUGAAAGAAAUCAACUGCUUGCUAAAGAAAUCAGACAAAGAGCUUCCAUUCUGGUUCAGUGGGUUAAGAAUCUGGCGUUGCUGCAGCUGUGGUUUGGUUUCAAUCCCUGGCCUGGGAACUUCCAUAUGCUGCAGGUACAACCAUAAAAAAAAGAGAAGGUGAAGGAAAAGAAGAGCCAGACAGACCCUGAAGAAAACAGGGUAAUGCAGGAACCAGAGAUUAUGUUAAAAUAAGUAUAAUUAAUAUCUUUUGAGAGGUUCAACCAGAUACAUUAGAACCAGUCAGAUGAUGAGUAGACACAGAAAACACACAAAAAUCAGUACUUUUUCCUAUAGACGUUAAUCACCAGGUAAGAGAUGGUAUUUGUAGUGGCAACAAAAAUCAUAAACAAUCCUGGUGGCUCAAUGGAUUAUGGAUACAGCACUGUCACUGUGGUGGCUCGGGUCACUGCAGUGGCAUGGAUUCUAUCCCUGGCCCUGGAACUUCUGUAUGCCAUGGGUAUGGACCCCCCUAAUAACAAAUAAUCCAGGUAUAAACCAAUUCUGGAAGACCUACAUAAACAGAGGCUUUAUAUUGUAUUAAAGAACAAAUAUGAGAGAUGUAUUUAUUAUGCUUCUUGCAAGAAGUCUCAGUAUUAUAAAAAUACUAUUAUAUUAUAUUUAUAGUUAUAAAAUACUGUUAGAUUUAUAUGAGUAGUUACAUGAGUUGCUCAGUAAACACCCCUCUGAAUUUAACUGGGUUAAGCUGGAUUUUUGUUAUGUGCAUCAAGAGCUGUACCUCAGAGGGAGUUCCCUGAUGGCCUAGUGAUUAAGGAUUCAGCAUUGUCACUGCUGUGCUCAAGUUCGAUCUCUGGCUCAGGAGCUUCUGCAUACUGUGUGUGGCAGGGACAAGCAAAAAUUAAAAAUAAAAAAAAAAUUUUAAAGAGUUGUUAUGGUUGCCAAGGGGGAGGAGGAGGGAGUGGGAUGGAUGGAGGAUCUGGGGUUAAUAGAUGCAAACUAUUGCCUUUGGAGUGGAUAAGCAACGAGAUCUUACUGUAUAGCACAGGGAACUAUAUGUAGUCACUUGUGAUGGAGGAUUAUGGAGGAUAAUGUGAGAAAAAGAAUGUAUAUUUGUAUGUGUGACUGGGCCAACUU